GGGUUAGUAAUCGAUGAUAGUGAGUUUGAGGGUUAAGGAAAUGCUCUAUUAAUGUGAAAUUAAGUGCCCUAUAUUUUGUUACUUGGUGAGAUAAAAAGGAAGAGAUUAUUUUAAUAUAGGCAUCUGUUGACUUGUCAACCUGUCUACCAGUCAACCAUAAAAGACUGUUUUAUUCUAUCAAAUUGUCAACCAUUACAAUUAUAAUUUUCCAUUUCAUCAAAUUGUCAACAAUAAUAA
rnacentral:lncRNA from 1 species